AAUUAAAAAACAAAAAUUCAUAAUGGAUUAAUACACCAUUAUGAGCGAACUGGCUCGCAUUUUAAAGAAUCCUCAAGACUUGAGGACAAAAUUUUAUUUUCAGAAAAAAUAUGCAUACAAGCUUAUCCAUGUAAGUUCAGUGAGAAGUGGUGAUACAAAUGGCAAGAGUAUUGGGGUUCAAACAUGCUGCAUCUAGUGGAGUUGCACACUCCAGCUUAUCAACUGCAUUUCUGAUUUUUUUUUUAAACAAAAGGUUCAACAAAACAUUAAUGGAUAAAAUAAUUUCUUUUAUUAUUUUUUAAAAUUAAUCUGGCCUGUGCCUCUCAUUUGUCACUAAGCUAAUUUUAUCAAAAUUGCCUGCAACACAUAGGAUUUCCCAAAUGACAUGCACAUCCACUGAAAAGCAUUCUAUGGUUGGCUUAUGCCGUAUCAUUGCUCCAAAUAGUGGAAUUGUCAGAUUGCCACACUUGAAAAAAAUGAGGUUCCCGCAGCAAACAAUCUGGGUGAGGUCAUAGAAACCUUUUGAAAGAGACCUUAUUAUUUUGUUUGAUUCCUAAAUUGUUGUGUGUUGGUACAACCCUCAACUCACCUCUGCUGCCAUCCUUUUACACUCCUCUGGUUCUUCCCUCGCACUAAUGGUCCUUUCUGGUUAUUUCCUCACUCUUCUAUUUGGCCCCUAUUUCUUUGGUUCCCUUUCUUUGCUGCAUGAUCUGUUUUGUUGUCAAGGAAAAUGGAUGUUUUUCUGUGUGCUCUUUAUGAGUAACUGUUAGGUUUCUUAGAGCUAGAAACCCAAGCUACUCGGGCAGAACUCACUCACACCAACACAGAAAGAAACAGAAACAAACUUUUAUUAUUCUCUCAAAGAAUGCGUCCAGGGAAAGACAACAAUUCCCCCCUCACAGGAUCUGUUAUGACUCCUGUUUACACUUACAAAAACAAAACGAAUACCCCCUUUUACAACACUACCCCCCUUCUUAUUUAUACUUUUCCUAAAACAAACUUUCAUUCCCCAACAACCUACUAACAGACUAACUAACUAACUAACUCAGUUCUUAUUUCUUCUCACAUACACCUUUAAUAUUCUAUCAGUAAC